GACGAACGCUGGCGGCGUGCUUAACACAUGCAAGUCGAACGGAAAGGCCCUGCUUUUGUGGGGUGCUCGAGUGGCGAACGGGUGAGUAACACGUGAGUAACCUGCCCUUGACUUUGGGAUAACUUCAGGAAACUGGGGCUAAUACCGGAUAGGAGCUCCUGCUGCAUGGUGGGGGUUGGAAAGUUUCGGCGGUUGGGGAUGGACUCGCGGCUUAUCAGCUUGUUGGUGGGGUAGUGGCUUACCAAGGCUUUGACGGGUAGCCGGCCUGAGAGGGUGACCGGCCACAUUGGGACUGAGAUACGGCCCAGACUCCUACGGGAGACAGCAGUGGGGAAUAUUGCACAAUGGGCGGAAGCCUGAUGCAGCAACGCCGCGUGCGGGAUGACGGCCUUCGGGGUGUAAACCGCUUUCGCCUGUGACGAAGCGUGAGUGACGGUAAUGGGUAAAGAAGCACCGGCUAACUACGUG
rnacentral:rRNA from 1 species